UUCUAUAAAAGCAGAUCAUAAUCAUCAUAGAGAGGGGAAUCAAUGAUUCAGAUGAAAAAGAAGAAGAUAUUAAUUGUGAAAUUGAUCUACAUAGUGCUUUUCAAAUCUUUCAGCAAUAACACUACAUAUGUAUAAUUGAGGAUAAGCAGAUAAAAGUACAAAUCUUGAUUACCAAUCAAAUGGAAUGAAGCUUUCAAAGCAUCGUUGCAUGAUAGAUAUAUUCAUAUAUUCGUCAAUUGUGCAAGUUGACAUAAGUUUUGCUGAUUUAUGAGUGGAGGAAAAAAAAAUGAAAAGUAAAAGGAAAAAAGCAUAUUUUCAUUAUUCAGAAUGAAUGGAUGAUGAAGAUGCUUCAUUAAGAUUUGAACAUACGAAAAUAUUUUCAAGGGUGACUUGGAUUUAUUUGUGAAUGCAGGUGUAAUGAAUAUCAGUCCUUUUCUAUUUUAAAUCAUGUAUAAAAUUAGAAAUAAUGGAGCCGGGUGUUUGCUUCAUUAAGAUUUAUUUCUAAUGGAUGAUGAAGAUGCUUCAUUAAGAUUUGAACAUAAGAAAAUAUUUUCAAGGGUGAUUUGGAUUUAUUUGUGAAUGCAGGUGUAAUGAAUAUAAGUUCUUUUUCUAUUUUAAAUCAUGUAUAAAAUUAGAAAUAAUUGAGCCGGGUGUUUGCAGAGGAGAAUAGAGUGGACCUGCCUCUGACGCAAUUGUUACUAUGUGGGCUUUAUGUAGAUCUAGCCACUCGCACAGCUCAAUUAAGUUGGGCCACUCCCGAUCUCCAAAGAGAAGCUCCUUCAUUACCCAAUCACAAGAUUCAAGCACACACUACCGAUAUGUAAAAAGAAUUCUAGCUACACAUAAUCAUAUUCUACAAUAUUUACAGCUUUUUUAGUUGUAACUUCUACACACCUGGGGAAUAUAUAUGUUUUCAUUAAUCUUUAGCGAGG
rnacentral:lncRNA from 1 species